rnacentral:rRNA from 1 species
GAGUUUGAUCUUGGCUCAGGACGAACGCUGGCGGCGUGCUUAACACAUGCAAGUCGAACGGUAAGGCUCCAGCUUGCUGGGGUACACGAGUGGCGAACGGGUGAGUAACACGUGGGUGACCUGCCCUGCACUUCGGGAUAAGCCUGGGAAACUGGGUCUAAUACCGGAUAGGACCGCACCGUGAGGGUGUGGUGGAAAGUUUUUUCGGUGUGGGAUGGGCCCGCGGCCUAUCAGCUUGUUGGUGGGGUAAUGGCCUACCAAGGCGGCGACGGUAGCCGGCCUGAGAGGGUGGACGGCCACAUUGGGACUGAGACACGGCCCAGACUCCUACGGGAGGCAGCAGUGGGGAAUAUUGCACAAUGGGCGGAAGCCUGAUGCAGCGACGCCGCGUGGGGGAUGACGGCCUCGGUU